GUCCACGCCGUAAACGAUGUCAACUAGCCGUUGGUCCUAUUUACAGGAUUAGUGGCGCAGCUAACGCAUUAAGUUGACCGCCUGGGGAGUACGGCCGCAAGGUUAAAACUCAAAUGAAUUGACGGGGGCCCCGCACAAGCGGUGGAGCAUGUGGUUUAAUUCGAUGCAACGCGAAGAACCUUACCACCCCUUGACAUCCAGAGAAUCUGUUAGCGAUAGUAGAGUGCCUUCGGGAGCUCUGAGACAGGUGCUGCAUGGCUGUCGU
rnacentral:rRNA from 1 species